AGUAAUUACAAAAGUGAUAAAAGUGCUGAAAAUUUUGAAUUAUUUAAAUUAUUAAGAAAUAAAUGUAAAUGCUUAAUUGAUACAGCGAAAGAAAACUUCUUUACAGAGUCUCUUGAAGCUAACAAAAAUGACUCAAAGUCACUCUGGUCUAUUCUUAAGAAUCUUGGUUUACCAUCUAAGAAAGGAUUAUCUUCCUCUUCUAAUAUUUGUCUCAACAUUGAUGGAAAUAUAUGUUUUGAUAAGGAAAUUAUUGCAGAUUCUUUUAACCAUUUUUACACUACAGUUGCCUCAAAGCUUGUUGAUAAAUUACCAACUUGUGUUCUUAAGUUUGGAAAAUCAUUUGUCAUUAAUUUUUACGCUAGCAUUGGUGUUAAAGCUGCUAACAGUUUUUCUUUUUCUUUAGUUUCUGAGAACCAAGUACUAAAAUAUUUAAACCAGCUCAGUUCUAAUAAAGCAACAGGUUUAGACGGUAUGCCCUCACGUUUUGUGAAAGAUGGGGCCUCGAUUAUUUCUCAACCUCUUACUCAUGUUAUUAAUUUAUCUCUUAUACAGGGUGUUGUUCCAGAUGAUCUCAAGUCUGCUAGGGUUGUUCCUAUUUUUAAGAAAAGUGAUACAACCUCUGUUGGUAAUUACCGUCCAGUCUCUAUUUUGAGUAUUUUAUCUAAAAUUUAUGAAAAGGUUGUAUAUGACCAAGUUGAGUCAUACUUCAAGGUUAACAAAUUGUUAUAUAAAUUUCAGUCUGGUUUCAGAAGUGGUUUUUCAACGGACACCUGUCUCAUACAUCUGACUGAUUAUAUCAGGUUGGAAAUGGAUAAAGUGCCACUCUAUGUCAUGCCACCAGCUCAAAGGACCACAAUGGAAAUAUGGGUUUACCCAUUUUUGUGUUAUCCUUGGUGUUGGUAUGUAUGUAAUGGUAUAUUUAUUUUCAUGUAUGUUAUAUUUUAUAUUUUGUACAUGUUGUAAAUGCCCUUGUAUGCAUUCCUUGCCGAAAUAAAUCUAUCUAUCUAUCAA